rnacentral:tRNA from 1 species
ACGCCCGUAGCUCAGUUGGACAGAGCAACGGAUUUCUAAUCCGUAGGUCGCAGGUUCGAGUCCUGCCGGGCGUG